rnacentral:rRNA from 1 species
AUGAACGCUAGCUACAGGCUUAACACAUGCAAGUCGAGGGGCAGCAUGAACUUAGCUUGCUAAGUUUGAUGGCGACCGGCGCACGGGUGAGUAACACGUAUCCAACCUGCCGAUGACUCGGGGAUAGCCUUUCGAAAGAAAGAUUAAUACCCGAUGGCAUAGUUCUUCCGCAUGGUAGAACUAUUAAAGAAUUUCGGUCAUCGAUGGGGAUGCGUUCCAUUAGGUUGUUGGCGGGGUAACGGCCCACCAAGCCUUCGAUGGAUAGGGGUUCUGAGAGGAAGGUCCCCCACAUUGGAACUGAGACACGGUCCAAACUCCUACGGGAGGCAGCAGUGAGGAAUAUUGGUCAAUGGACGAGAGUCUGAACCAGCCAAGUAGCGUGAAGGAUGACUGCCCUAUGGGUUGUAAACUUCUUUUAUACGGGAAUAAAGUGAGGCACGUGUGCCUUUUUGUAUGUACCGUAUGAAUAAGGAUCGGCUAACUCCGUGCCAGCAGCCGCGGUAAUACGGAGGAUCCGAGCGUUAUCCGGAUUUAUUGGGUUUAAAGGGAGCGUAGGCGGACGCUUAAGUCAGUUGUGAAAGUUUGCGGCUCAACCGUAAAAUUGCAGUUGAUACUGGGUGUCUUGAGUACAGUAGAGGCAGGCGGAAUUCGUGGUGUAGCGGUGAAAUGCUUAGAUAUCACGAAGAACUCCGAUUGCGAAGGCAGCUUGCUGGACUGUAACUGACGCUGAUGCUCGAAAGUGUGGGUAUCAAACAGGAUUAGAUACCCUGGUAGUCCACACAGUAAACGAUGAAUACUCGCUGUUUGCGAUAUACAGUAAGCGGCCAAGCGAAAGCGUUAAGUAUUCCACCUGGGGAGUACGCCGGCAACGGUGAAACUCAAAGGAAUUGACGGGGGCCCGCACAAGCAGUGGAGUAUGUGGUUUAAUUCGAAGCAACGCGAAGAACCUUACCAAGUCUUGACAUCCCACUGACCGGACAGUAAUGUGUCCUUUCCUUCGGGACAGUGGAGACAGGUGGUGCAUGGUUGUCGUCAGCUCGUGUCGUGAGAUGUUGGGUUAAGUCCCGCAACGAGCGCAACCCCUAUCUUCAGUUGCCAGCAGGUAAGGCUGGGCACUCUGGAGAGACCGCCCCGGUCAACUGGGAGGAAGGUGGGGACGACGUCAAAUCAUCAUGCCCUUUAUGUCCUGGGCUACACACGUACUACAAUGGCUACUACAAAGAGAAGCAAUACCGUAAGGUGGAGCAAAACUGCAAAAAGUAGCCCUAGUUCGGAUUGGGGGCUGCAACCCGCCCCCAUGAAGCUGGAAUUGCUAGUAAUCAUAGGUCAGCAUACUAUGGUGAAUACGUUCCCGGGCCUUGUACACACCGCCCGUCAAGCCAUGAAAGCCGGGGGUACCUGAAGUGCGUAACCGCAAGGAGCGCCCUAGGGUAAAACUGGUGAUUGGGGCU